UGAGGUUUAUGGAAGAGAUGAGUUGAUCUU
rnacentral:piRNA from 1 species